rnacentral:lncRNA from 1 species
AAAAGUUCAUAUUUAGAGAUCAGCAUAGUAAUAGCCUCACCAUCCUAUACUCCAGCUUAUCGUGGGCAAAGGCACUAGCACUUGACCCUUGAAUGAUGCAUCUCUCUCUUGCUUACGGUAGCGACAAGGUGUGGCAACCAUCGAAAACAAGUUGGGUCAAACUUAACCCGGAUGGUUCGGUUAGUCUCGAUAGAAAGAUGACAGCAAUUGGUGGUGCACUCCGUAAUAGUAAUGGAAAUAGGAUUGUCUGUUUUAGAAGAAGUAUAGGGACUGCUAUUGUUUUCCAAGCCGAGG